rnacentral:lncRNA from 1 species
GGUGUUUUUUUUACAAAAUUUAAUUUUGGAAAGACGAGUUCGACGUGUGCAGCAUUCCUGUAGAAUAUUCAUUUUCUGAUGUACAUCUUGUAGUGAUGUAGUAGGUUUUAAUUAUGCAAAAGUGAUGUAAUAAUUNAUGUACAUCUUGUAGUGAUGUAGUAGGUUUUAAUUAUGCAAAAGUGAUGUAAUAAUUAAGGCCUUGUAAAGGAAUGUGUUUUGCGCAGCGUCAACGUUUUUCAGAUUAAAUUUUGGCAUAAGUACUUUUUUUUUUUAUCUGUGUGAUAAUAUUAU